rnacentral:misc_RNA from 1 species
CAAAAACGCAAAAAAAUUGCAGCAAAAUUUUAAAUUUUUUUUUUUUUUUCUAAACUUAGGUAGAAAAAAAAUUACAAGCUGUUUACAUAUUUUAAGCCUAUUGUUUUAAAGCAUCAAGCCCAUGAAUCUCGACAUAUUUUAUUUUUCAAGAAAAGCGUAACUCUCAAAUGAAACCAUAGUCAGUAGAAGUUAUACCUGGUCAGGAAAUAAAAUAUUUCGACAAAAUGAUCUUAUUAUUUGAAAUAUAGUAAUCACGUGAUCAAAGUAAAAGCAAAAAAAAAAAUUACCGAUUGAAGAAAGUCUUCAGUUUCAUUCUCUUAAUUCUAAAAGCUUGGAAGUUAAUUAAUUUUAAUUUUUUAAUUUUAAUUUUGUUCAAGCUGUUUAAAUAAUUAAGUUACAAUUAUUUUAUAACUUUUUUGAAUAAAAAAUGGAGCAAAUUGUGCUUUUCCUAAAUGUGGAGUUACAAAAACCUCUUAACACCAAGGUAUUGGAAUAUUUUAACUUCCAAAUCGGCCAGACAACAAUGAAAAAAAAUUAUAUUAAACCUUUUGUCAAAAUGUAGAAAUAUUGACAACCAUCUCAAAGAGCGCAUUACAAAUGGGAAUAUCUUUCUUUGUGAACUUCAUUUAGAGCCAAUAGAUAUUGAGUUUACAAAGACUGGUCAAAAAAUGUUAAAGCUUGGUGCAAUACCAUUGCUCAAGAUUCCUAAGAAAUCUCAUGAAACUUUUUAAGCACCUGAAAGAAGACAUAUAUCUAUUGUUAAAGAUAUUUUGACUACAAAAGAAAAACAUACAGACAAAUACAAAAAACUUUAGUGAACUUACUAAUGUAGCUAUGAAUCUUGAACUAAAUUGGUUUAUAUCAUAUAAUAAAAACUUUAUAUAAUU